rnacentral:rRNA from 1 species
GAUGAACGCUGGCGGCGUGCCUAAUACAUGCAAGUCGAGCGAACAGACGAGGAGCUUGCUCCUCUGACGUUAGCGGCGGACGGGUGAGUAACACGUGGAUAACCUACCUAUAAGACUGGGAUAACUUCGGGAAACCGGAGCUAAUACCGGAUAAUAUAUUGAGCCGCAUGGUUCAAUAGUGAAAGACGGUUUUGCUGUCACUUAUAGAUGGAUCCGCGCCGCAUUAGCUAGUUGGUAAGGUAACAGCUUACCAAGGCAACGAUGCGUAGCCGACCUGAGAGGGUGAUCGGCCACACUGGAACUGAGACACGGUCCAGACUCCUACGGGAGGCAGCAGUAGGGAAUCUUCCGCAAUGGGCGAAAGCCUGACGGAGCAACGCCGCGUGAGUGAUGAAGGUCUUCGGAUCGUAAAACUCUGUUAUUAGGGAAGAACAAAUGUGUAAGUAACUAUGCACGUCUUGACGGUACCUAAUCAGAAAGCCACGGCUAACUACGUG